rnacentral:rRNA from 1 species
UACAGAGGUCCCAAGCGUUGUUCGGAUUCAUUGGGCGUAAAGGGUGUGUAGGUGGCGCGCUAAGUCGGGUGUGAAAUUUCGGAGCUUAACUCCGAAACUGCAUUCGAUACUGGCGUGCUUGAGGACUGGAGAGGAGACUGGAAUUUACGGUGUAGCAGUGAAAUGCGUAGAUAUCGUAAGGAAGACCAGUGGCGAAGGCGGGUCUCUGGACAGUUUCUGACGCUAAGACGCGAAAGCGUGGGGAGCAAUCAGG